GGGGUCCAAGGAUGUGGGAGGGAGACUGUAUUCCUCCUCCCCACCCCAAUCUAUCUCCUUUCCUAGUGCUCCCCGCACCCCUCCCAAUGUUUCUGGGCCUAUCUCACCUUGCUGCUUUCCUACACAUUAUCAUAUUUCAGAAACGAUGAGUGCAACACUGAUCUAAGAGAGUAGAGAGGUUAGGAAAAUAGCCUUGGGAGGCAGCUGUGAAGUCAGGGUCCCUGGACCUGCAGAUAGUGAGUUGGGACUCCAGGUCACACUGCACACUUGGCUUGUGAGCAUGAUGUUCACCAGGGCUCAGCUGCACCUGUUCAUGCAGUCACCACCAGAAGCCCAGGCUUCCAGCUCAUUCCACAUCUCUCAGAUUCUGGUUCUCAUGCAGCCCUUUCUGACCCCAUUUGCACUGUUACCCAUCUUCUGAAACGUUUUCGCAGCUUUCUGGAACCCAGGAUUCAUCAUCAAUAAAAUCCUCCAAAUUCAACAUUCCUUUCACCAUCUGCUCUGCAGUAUAGUCCGCAGACCAGUUGCAUCAGAAUCACUUGGGACACUAUUAAAAUGCAGAUUCCUGGCCAGGCGCGGUGGCUCACGCCUAUAAUCCCAGCACUUUGGGAGUCUGAGGCGGGCUGAUCCCUUGAGAUCAGGAGUUCAAGACCAGCCUGGACAACAUGGUGAAACCACAUCUCUCCUAAAAAUACAAAAAUUAGCCAGGUGUGGUGGCGGGCGCCUGUAAUCCCAGCUACUCGGGAGGCUGAGGCAGGAUAAUCGCUUGAACGCGGGAGGCAGAGGUUGCGGUGAGCGAGAUUGGGCCACCGCACUCCAGCCUGGGUAACAGAGACUCCGUCUCAAAAACAAAGUUUGGGAUUAUCAAGAUGAAAAACUAAGACAAUUCUUACCAGCUAGGUUCUUGAAAGUAGAAUCCAGAGACAGAAUCAAACAACAUACUCUGCACUUAGAACGUAGAGUAUGUUGUGAGUUUGUAAACUCAUAGAAGAGAUAGUAGUUAGGACCCAUGUGACAGGCUGUGCCGCUAGACACUUCAAGAGGAAUCUUGGAUCAGCUCUGUAAGUACACCCACAACCACGAUUUACUAUUUGAAUCUGGUUCUGUUGAGCAAGCUGGACUUUGGGAUCACUCAGAUUCAGUAGCCAUUUUUGCCUUGGACCUCUAAUUUUCUUCUAUCACUUCCUAUUUACCCUUGGUGUGAUCAGGUUACUACAGUAUAAAGGAACACUGAUGUCUUGAGCCUCUCUAAAGGAUGUAGAUUAUCGCCUACAUUCAGUGCUCUUCCAGACUCAGGAUUUGCCACAGCUAUUUCAGUACAUACACUGGUAUAUUGAGUCAAGUCAGGUCAGCAGUUCCUGUCUGGGAUUUCUGUGGGGGAGUGCAUUCCAAUUAACAGGACAACCUGCACAUUCUGAAAUACUCUACCCCUUUCUUAGGCUGGGCGCGGUGGCUCACACCUAUAAUCCCAGCACUUUGGGAAGCUGAGGCGGGUGGAUCAUUUGAGGUCAGGAGUUUGAGACCAGCUUGGCCAACAUAGUGAAACCCCAUCUCUACCAAAAAAAAAAAAAAAAAAA
rnacentral:lncRNA from 1 species